ACGGGUAUAGCUCAACUGGUAGAGUAGCUGGUUCCAACCCAGAAGGUUGGGGGUUCGAGUCCCUCUGCCCGUGCCA
rnacentral:tRNA from 1 species